UGGCUCAAAAGUGUAGAAGGGCAAGGGGACUCGGCCUCACGGUCCACCUCAGCUCGCGGCUCGGCCAGUAACAAAGACGUGCCGAAAGUAGUUCCGCCAUUACUAUCGGGCCGAGCGCCGCGAGUGAACGUCUCCCCUUGCUCCUCUGUACUUUUAACCCCUUACGAUACAAUAACGUGUGAAACUCGUGGAGCGCAAAGGGUUAAACCACAGGCCAGCUUGGGUCAUAUGAGUAACGCACUGCACGAACGUUGGUGUUAGAUUUUGCUUCUGCACAGUGGCGGCUUUUUAUGUUUAUCGAAUUCUGAAAACACGGAGGCUCGGCUACUAUAUUUCCUGGCAGGACUAAGGUGGAGCGUGCAGAUGAUUCUCCUUGCUCUUGUGCACUUUGAGCUUGAUGAUCGCGGAUGAAAACGUGAGCUGCACUAUAACCAACGUGUUGAAGAAGAUCAAGGAAACAACAGAUAAUUGAAAUUCCAGAUCUUUUCUACUUCGCUCCGAAACGUGUGGCCGUAAUUGUAUUGUAGGAUGCAAGAAGUGCUCCAAAGAUGUGGCAGGUGUUAUCAAAUGUUACAAAGUUACCGGUCUUGUAAUGGUGCCUUUCGCAGAAGUCCUGGAUCCUUUGGCAAGCCUCCUCUAGCAUGUCCACAGGCACCGUGAUGACCAGCCUCAUGUAGGAGGGAUAAUCGAAGCACUGUUAGAAAAGGGCCAAACACCAUGUAAUCAACGGACAAUACCGAACGAGUGGAUACUGAAUUUAAACGGCGUACCUGGCCAGGAAGGCAAAACACGGACUCCUCUAUUAGCAAUCGCUGCACGAAUUCAAGAUCCGAAUUAAAUCCCGGAAAAGAGGCUAGAUCUAUGUAAACCUGGAAACCGAUAGGAUAAUUUAUCGCCAGUAAAUUGCAACCGACCGGCUUUAAUGGCGCCGUGUUCACGGGAACGCGUAAAUCGCGUUCAAUGCUCGACUAAUUAUAUGGAAUUUGCUGUUAAAAAAAUCACUUCCGAUUAACUUAUCCAUACUGAAUUCGAAGGAGUUCAGAAAUUUGUUGGAACGUGCACAGUUUAUGCAUUUAUAUUAAUUCCGACGAAAAGUUUAAUCGAAUAGGCUGGCGCGAUUAUUGCAACAAUGAGGGAGAAGGAAAUAACCUGUUUAUCGUAUGUGAUCUUUCUUAGAAACAUUAUUGCGUUGGAUCUAUCUUGGAAUAAAUGAUUUGAUAUAUGUGUAUGUAAAAGUGUAUACGUCGUGUAUACUUACCAUCAUAUACAUUGCGCCCGUUGGCAUUAUUGGUUUCAAUCCAGGAAUUUUUAGUACGCUAUUGUACGCCAGUUUUGAGUGAUUCUGGGGAAAAUAAACAUAAGUGGGAUGCAAUUAAAUGAAAAUGUAACUGUGUUUUAAAGGGCAACGACAGAAAUCGAUCAAUUUUGGACCUGGCAACGAAAGCUUUUUGCAAGGAAUAAUUCUACAUGCUCGGGUUACAUUUAUUCGAGAGAUGAUGGGAGAGUUAUAAAAAAUAAGAAUAAGCUUUGGAAUGUUGUCUUGGAAAAACUGAUCUUAUUAAUCGUUCUUUAUCAUCUGCGUUUGAAAAUUUAUGAUUAAAAUAGUGAUUUAAGGGACUAGUUGGAAAAUUUAUCGUAAAUUUAUUCAAACAUAUUCAAAAAAUUAAAAAAUCGUUGUUAUAUGAAGGCGCUAGUCGAUUAAAUUUAAGUAUUUUCUAAACUAAUGACUUUUCUAUAAGAGUGAAUUAAUAUUUUUCUGUAGGAAACAAUGAAAUAAAUCGACUAGUGCAUUCGAAACUAUAAAGUUCUAUUAAAAAAAAAUAAUAUUGUAAAAACACUUCUUUGAUAAUUCUAAGAUCUAAUUAAAAGGAACACGCUAUAUAAAUGAAAUAUCUUCUAAUAAUGUAAUAUUUUUUAGUACCCUAUUGAAAUAUGUAAUUUUAAAUAGCGUUGUUUAAAUAUCAUUGUUAUUCAUUUUGUUGGAAAUAUUUCAUUCAAAUAAUGUCUGGUAUAGUACAAUAAUUAUUGCAAAGAUAAUGAACACAUCAUUGAUUCUUGCUUCUGCAUUUCAAGACCUUUACAUUGUUUGCAUUAUUAUUUCACUGAUAUGUCAUCAUCAAAAGCAAAUAACAACGACGAACGAGGAUUACUAAGAAGAACAUUCCAAAAUUUACGUCUGUUUCUUAUAACUUCAGCUUCUGGGUAAAUAAUUAUUCAUUUCGGAUUCCUUAAAAUAUGUAGAAUUAUACUUUGCAAAAAACAUUCGUCGUCUACCAGGUCUAAAAUUGAUCAUUUUCUACCAUUGUUUUUUAUAUAAUGAAACGCAUAAAGAAGUUUAUACAUCUUUACAUUGGAAAUACAUUUUUCAAUGAUUCAAUAUUUUUAUCAGUGAACAUAAUUUAUAGUUUUUUUAUACAAAGUUCUUAAUGUUUUGGAAAAUUGGAGGAUAAUUUAAGUAGUUUAAGUAGUUUACUAAAAAAGCAUUAUUUAAUUCAGUGAAGUACAUCACCCAUACACAUAUGAGUGGGUGGAUAUUUUUAUGAGUAAUUGUAUAUUCCAUUUAAUGUAUUAGUAUAUUGCGUAUUAUCUUGAAUCAUUGAAUUUAUUAGAAAGCUGUAAAAGUUAAUAUCGACUAUUAAUUGUAAAUAGAAACAUUAAAUACUGACAUGUAAGGUACGCAUGAUAUCGUCGUAAAAUUUCUGUGGCGUGUUUCUCAAAAUCGCUGGCAGAGCACCCUGAAUAAGUGUGUUACUACCGAUAAUCCUCUGGCUCAGGCAGUGAAGAGCUUUUCGUAUCUACAAUGAAAAUGAGGCACAUAACUUUUUGCUAUACAUAUUUAAUAAAUCUUAUUUCUUAUUAAAAUAGAAAAUAUAAAUUAAAUAAUCUCUAAAGCAAUGAAAAAUAUUACCAGUGAAAUAAAUACUAAUGAAAUGCUUUUAAAUUAACGGAAUCUACGAAAUAUAUUAUGACUUCUAAGUUUUAUACUACUUACAUUAUUAUAUUAAAUUACUCCGUAUUAUAUUAUUCCGAUGGAAUUACCUGUUAUUAUUAUAUCAAACUCUAUAAAUGAAAUUAUAAUGAAAACGAUUUGUGACAUAAAGGAUAAUAACAUUUGAAUAUUUUAUUAAUACUGUUCCGUUCGCAGUCAUAUUAUUAAAAUCCAUUUCUCUGUAAUACUAAUUAAUGAUAGCAAUAUGAAUUAAUAUUACAAAAUUAUAUGAGUAGACCGAAGCGAUUAGGAUCAAGGGGGGAAACAAAUAAAAAUAAGGAUAUUGGCCAUAUUUGUUACGUUGUUAUAGAAAUCAACAUGCUGAUCGUCCAUAUUCCUUCAUACACUUUCCCCACACUUAGUCCAAUAUAUUUUUAAUUGUUUCAAACUGUUAUUUGCUGUCAGCACAUGUUAGAAUCGAAGCAAACGCGAUGAAUUUGUGGCCAGUCUAAAAUAUGCAGUUGAAAUUUCACAUUUAAAAUAGCAAGAUAAGCUUGGAAAUUUAAAUGUCUUGAUUACUAUUAGUCUCUAAAGUAUAUAAAUGCAGUAUUUAACGUACUUUAGAUUAUUAUAUUGUGUUUUGUUCAUUUAUCGCAUUCAUUUUUAAAUCCUUAAAAGUUGCGCUAUUCGGAUCACAUUGAACGAAACGAAUCGGAUUUCUGCUUUCCCUCAUUUUUUUGUCUAUGGUUAUAAAUAUCAUAAUUAUUUAUACAUAGACAUACAAAAAAAGACAAAAUAGGGAUCAUGGAGCCCAAAAACAAUAAAAAACACAAUAAUAACAGUUAACUCCAAGGAAGUGUUGUAACUUGUACAACCCUACAAAGACGACUGGCUUGUCGAAUAAUUAAAGA